UACCAGCUCUUCGAGUGGUGUGGAUGUUUAUUGGGCCUAAAGCAUCCGUAGCUGGCUGGGCAAGUCCCCUGUUAAAUCCACCGAUUUAAUCGUUGGAGUGCGGGGGAUACUGUUCGGCUAGGGGACGGGAGAGGCAGACGGUAUUUUCGGGGUAGGGGCGAAAUCCUAUAAUCCCGGGAAGACCACCAGUGGCGAAGGCUGUCUGCUAGAACGCGCCCGACGGUGAGGGAUGAAAGCUGGGGGAGCGAACCGGAUUAGAUACCCGGGUAGUCCCAGCUGUAAACGAUGCAGGCUAGGUGUUUGGGCGGCCACGUGCCGCUCUAGUGCCGCAGGGAAGCCGUUAAGCCUGCCGCCUGGGGAGUACGGCCGCAAGGCUGAAACUUAAAGGAAUUGGCGGGGAGCACCACAAGGGGUGAAGCUUGCGGUUU
rnacentral:rRNA from 1 species